AGAGUUUGAUCAUGGCUCAGAGCGAACGCUGGCGGCAGGCUUAACACAUGCAAGUCGAACGGGCACCUUCGGGUGUCAGUGGCAGACGGGUGAGUAACACGUGGGAACGUGCCCAUCGGUUCGGAACAACCCAGGGAAACUUGGGCUAAUACCGGAUACGACCUUACGGUGAAAGAUUUAUCGCCGAUGGAUCGGCCCGCGUCUGAUUAGCUAGUUGGUGAGGUAAUGGCUCACCAAGGCGACGAUCAGUAGCUGGUCUGAGAGGAUGAUCAGCCACACUGGGACUGAGACACGGCCCAGACUCCUACGGGAGGCAGCAGUGGGGAAUAUUGGACAAUGGGCGAAAGCCUGAUCCAGCCAUGCCGCGUGAGUGAUGAAGGCCUUAGGGUUGUAAAGCUCUUUCGGCGGGGACGAUAAUGACGGUACCCGCAGAAGAAGCCCCGGCUAACUUCGUGCCAGCAGCCGCGGUAGUACGAAGGGGGCUAGCGUUGCUCGGAAUCACUGGGCGUAAAGGGCGCGUAGGCGGCCGAUCAAGUCAGAGGUGAAAGCCCAAGGCUCAACCUUGGAAUUGCCUUUGAUACUGUUCGGCUCGAGACCGGAAGAGGUAAGUGGAACUGCGAGUGUAGAGGUGAAAUUCGUAGAUAUUCGCAAGAACACCAGUGGCGAAGGCGGCUUACUGGUCCGGUUCUGACGCUGAGGCGCGAAAGCGUGGGGAGCAAACAGGAUUAGAUACCCCGGUAGUCC
rnacentral:rRNA from 2 species